rnacentral:rRNA from 1 species
CCUACGGGUGGCAGCAGUGAGGAAUAUUGGUCAAUGGACGAGAGUCUGAACCAGCCAAGUAGCGUGAAGGAUGACUGCCCUAUGGGUUGUAAACUUCUUUUAUAAAGGAAUAAAACGAGGCACGUGUGCAUUUUUGCAUGUACUUUAUGAAUAAGGAUCGGCUAACUCCGUGCCAGCAGCCGCGGUAAUACGGAGGAUCCGAGCGUUAUCCGGAUUUAUUGGGGUUAAAGGGAGCGUAGAUGGGUUGUUAAGUCAGUUGUGAAAGUUUGCGGCUCAACCGUAAAAUUGCAUUUGAUACUGGCAGUCUUGAGUACAGUUGAGGUAGGCGUACUUCGUGGUGUAGCGGUGAACUUCUUAGAUCUCACGAAGAACCCCGAUUGCGAAGGCAGCUUACUAAACUGUGACUGACAUUGAUGCUCGAAAGUGUGGGUAUCAAACAGGAUUAGAUACCCGGGUAGUC